CUCGACCUCAGAUGUAGCACU
rnacentral:rRNA from 1 species